rnacentral:rRNA from 1 species
GAUGAACGCUGGCGGCGCGCCUAACACAUGCAAGUCGAACGAUUAAAGCACCUUCGGGUGUGUAUAAAGUGGCGAACGGCUGAGUAACACGUGGGCAACCUGCCCCUCUCAUUGGGAUAGCCACGGGAAACCGUGGAUAAUACCGAAUACUUCGGGACUUCCGCAUGGAAGACUCGAGAAAGCUCCGGCGGAGAGGGAUGGGCCCGCGGCCUGUUAGCUUGUUGGUGGGGUAAUGGCCUACCAAGGCAAUGAUGGGUAGCUGGGUUGAGAGACCGACCAGCCAGAUUGGGACUGAGACACGGCCCAGACGCCUACGGGAGGCAGCGGUGGGGAAUCUUGCACAAUGGGCGAAAGCCGGAUGCAGCGACGCCGCGUGCGGGAUGAAGGCCUUCGGGUUGUAAACCGCUUUCAGCAGGGACGAGGCGAAAGUGACGGUACCUGCAGAAGAAGCCCCGGCUAACUACGU